rnacentral:misc_RNA from 1 species
GUGGUGCGAUCGAGUUGGCUAAACUCUGGAGCCUGGUCCGCGUAAAAGACGUACAACAGUGGUACCAGGAUGUCAUUGAGGCCUUGUACAUAACCGGCGGCGGGAUGUCGCACGGACCACAAGUGUAGGAUCCGCGUCAUUGCCUGUUGUACGGCUCCGGUGUGGAAGAGCGGAAAUUCGGGUGCGGUACGCGGCACGUCGAGGUCGAUCUGACGCUUACGAGCCCAGUCUUCUGAGGACAGGCGAUUACCGAGUCUGGGAUCAGUGACUAGCCCGAGUUCAGCAACUGCUUGCCAGUACUGGUCGCGUUUGCGGCUGACGCUCCGGAGAAGACGCGAAGGUUGCGGCGGGCAGUAGUCCAGCAGCACCUUCCACGCAAGGGCCCGUUGCGCACCAGGCACGCCGCUCCAGGCAAGUUGUUCGAGGAGCCCGCGAUCGACAGCGCUGAUCCUGCUCAGUUCUGCAGCAUCUCCUCGUCUCCAGGCCUGGCGAAUCGCGUCCAGUUGUGUCCAGAGUGUGGUGGAGGCCUUCGAACCCACGCCCUCAGCGUCUUCGGUUUCCAGCGCGACUGCUGGCGCUGUUGCUGGCUUUGUCACAAGUGCUGCGCUGCCCCUUUUCAAACCAGCGUCUGUGGAAGCUUCUCGUUUGUUUUCGGCGAGCAACGGACCCUGGCACAAGGCCUGAACCGCCGUGCCGACUCGCGAACAGUGCGUUGUCGGCGCAGCGUCCGCUGAGGUUGCAGUCGUGUUAUGAGGUGCGCUAUCAGCGGUGAUACCGCCUUGUUGCGCUUCCCAUUCGCUGAACUGUGGUACGAGCUCACCUAAGCAGUCACCUGGUGCCCCAGAGAGCGAGCGAAUAGACCACCAAACCGUGUUCAGCGCUCUCGAGUCCAUGCAGUUCGCGGCUGCUCCAGCGUAUGUGUCCAAGUUGUCGCUCAGUACCACGCAGAUAACUAUGGUAUUCGUAACUGUGGCAGCUGCGUCAUCGGACGCCUGUCACGCUCUCGUUCAGGUCAGUGGGCAAACAACACCCAUAUCGAGACCGCAGCUCUAUGCCACGUCCUGGACUAGGGAGAACGCUUCCAGGCUUUGCCUCGGAGCGACGAUCGCUGCUGGCGUAUGUGUCAUUGGCAUUGACUUUCUCUAGGCUUCUGUCGUUGCCGUUGUCGUCGAACAGAGACGAUCGUGACCCGCUUAUAAGGUGCUCCUGCAACUUUGCGGAAGCUUUCGGCAUGCAAGGGAGAAAAUGUGUGAUUAAGUCUGUGGAUAUGCCAGAAGAUCGGCAGCAGUUUGCCGUAGAGACUGCGACAAAGGCCAUCGAGAACUAUCAGGUGGAGAAGGACGUGGCGGCAGCUAUAAAGAAAGAGUUUGACGCCAAGUACGGACCUACCUGGCACUGUAUCGUCGGACGAAACUUUGGCUCGUACGUCACGCAUGAAACCGGGUGUUUCAUAUACUUUUACCUGGACCAAAUCGCGGUGCUUCUUUUCAAGUCCGGGUAGUGACGGGAGGGCGCGAGACGUUUGCCCGGGUCGAGCACUUGAAAGGAUAACCCGCUGGUAAACGCUUU